ACUUUUUUAGUAUAUUCAAGUAUAUUUGACUUCCAAUCAUAAGGACUAACAUUUAGAAAAAGUA
rnacentral:tRNA from 1 species